CAGAUGCAGCUGUAAAGAUCUAGAGCCUCGCCCGCAACACUUGGAGCAGAGCUGAUAUUUACACAACAGAUCACAGCCUGCUGUUCCACACAUCAGAACCUAUUGCAGUGUUGUAAGCUGUAUGUGUCUGAUUCACUAAAAAGAACCAAUUCAUUAGAGUCAUUCAUUCUGGAAAAUGGCUGUGUCCGAAAGCCUAAAAAUGUUGCUUUCGGAGGAUGCAUUACAAGCCUACACCAGUCUGCUUGGAACGCUAGCCUUCUACAAACGCAGCACACACCGGAUCUACACUCAAAGCGAACGUCGCGCCGGCGCCACCAUGGAAGUUUCACGGCCGUCAAACUAAUGCGUGACCAGGGCUGAAUCACGAUGUAACAUCGCUGUCAUAUGUAACAAAGUUACACUGACUACAAUAGGAGCGCUGUGGACCUAUAGUGCGCUAGCAUUUCAGCUGUGCGUUUGACGGUUGAAACCUAAAUGCCUGACAGAUGAGAUGGCAGAGCAUGCUGUUUUUAGAUAAUACUGAAGGAUGCUCUACAGCCAAACCAGAGGAGCCAGUGUGAAUCAAAGCAACUAUAGCCAAUGGCAACAGUUCAUGUGCAGACAGGUGAAAAAGAUACUUCUGUAGGUCAGCACAAGGUCAUCAAGCAGAAGACAGAUAAGUGACUCUGCAUGAGGUAAUACCACAUCAACCACACACACCUAUUUGGCUUGGCAAAGGGAGCUCUUUGUUAGUGCAGCGAAGUGCUGAUGGCUUCUGUCCCCCUCUGGUAGGGUCACAGGGGCCCUUUUCUGAAACAGUAUAGGCCAUGCACCUGACAAAGAUCCAGCAUCAUCAAAUAUUGAUCUAUAUUUACACUACCAGUCAUAGGUUUGGACACACUCGACUGAAAACCUUUUGAUCUUUUUCAUGAAUGCUUGAAAGUAGACUUAAAUUGUGCCUAUGUAUUUCUUUACAAAACUAAAAUUUGAAUUACAUUUUUUUCAAAUAGACGAGUUUUGUAUACAUGAGAACUUCAAUACUGUUCAAUAUAUAACAGAUAUUUAAAUUUAUUUUAUUUGAUACUUUAUUUUAUUUUCGAAUAUUGUGUAUUAAUAUUUAAAUGUAAUUCAAUUUUUUUUAAAUUAUAAAAAUUCUAAAUGAUAAUUUGCUUAUAAUUCCAUUUCGUUAUUUAAAAGUUUUAAUGACAUUUUCUGUUAUUCUGAAAUGUGGAAAAUAGAAUGAGUAGGUGUGUGCAAACAUUUGACUGUAUAUUUAUGUCAGAUAUUAUAUAAGUGCAAAUGUAUGCAUGCAUAUUAUUUAGGGGGAGUGGGGUAACAUGUCACCCACUUAAACUGCAAAGUGAUAACAUUUUAUUCUUCCUCUUUGCAGUUUUGUGUCACUCUCAAAGUCCUAUCCUAUUUCCAUCUGGAAUUAAUGACCACAUGAAUCUGGUCUCUCUGUUACUCAUCACCCAUAAUUCUCUUCUGCGACCUCUAUGACCCUCACCUCCUCUUGUGUCUGUCCUCUUCUCCUCGUCGUCCUCUUUUCCAGCAGCAUUCACCUCUGAAUGACUCGAGGCUCUGGCAGGGUGACAGCCCCUGUCUGUCUCUCCUGGACCAGCCUGAACCAACACCAGCCUAAUCCCCGGGAUCACCUUUCCCCCAUGGGGACACAAGUGUGGAUCAGUGGGACAGAGCUCCAGGAAUCUCCUCUUUUCA